GAGAUUCCAUUACAUACCCUGAGAGAAGGAUGUACAAAAUCACUCCCAGAGACCACAUAUCACUUUUGGAGGUAAUUGUUCCUUGGGAAAGCGCUUCUGGUGAGACAUAAUCUAUGGAACCAAACAAUCCAACAACUGGGUCAGUGAAAUCCUCCACAGAACUCAAUCCAAAGUCCAUGAUUUUCAAGGAAGAGUCGUGGCUUUCGUCGAGGAAGAGACAGUUUUCGGGUUUCAAGUCACGGUGAAUGAUAUUGACUUCAUGAAGAGCCUUCAAACCACUAGCAAUCUGUCUCACAACUGCAGCAGCUUUAGCUUCAGUGUGUCUCGUCUGAGCCACGAUCCUAUCGAAAAGCUCGCCUCCAGAACAAAGCUCCAACACGAGGUGAACCCCGUUCGAAUCUUCAUACACGUCGUAAAGAUCAAUCACAUUUUCAUGAGGAACCAUGGAAGUCACACUCUUGAGAGCAUUUCGAUUUGGUGGACAUCCCAUGAAAGCUGAUGGUCCAAUUCUUCUUAGUGUUUUAAUAGCUACUUCCUUUUUCUCUCUUCUGGACUUACUGAUACCUUUCCUGACUACUGAGAAUCCUCCUCUCCCUAUAACGUCGGAUAUCUCGUACUCGUCGGAGAGUUUUCGAGCUUGCUGUAUCAUUUUCGCUCGAAAAUUUGAUGAAGAAACCACCCAGGAGGGUGAAGAGAAGGAAUCUGGGAAUAUUUGGUGGAAGAAAAUUGACAAGGAAGAGGACAAGAGGUGGUUGAAUGAUGAGAGAAAAGGAAGAGGAUUGGAAUGAGGGACUUACAUCAUGAGAGUUGUGGAUUAGUUAUUAAAAUUUGGAUUGAAAAAUGAGGCAUUUUAAGGAAUAAAGAAAGGAGAAUAGGAGUUGGGGAAGAAAGACAAAACAAAGUCAAUGUUUAACAUUGUGCAGAAAGCUCUCUCCUUCUCUCUUUUCUUCAUCAUUUCUUCUCUCUCUCUCUCUCUCCUAUGAACCUUCCCUCUGUUCAUACUUUAUUCAUUAUUAGAUGUGAAGAUUUGAAGAUCGAAGUCGAGAUUUUUUCAUA